rnacentral:rRNA from 1 species
UGGGGAAUAUUGGACAAUGGGUGAGAGCCUGAUCCAGCCAUGCCGCGUGCAGGAAGAAGGCGUUAUGCGUUGUAAACUGCUUUUGCCAGGGGAUAAAAAGACCGUGCGCGGUUAAUUGAAGGUACCUGGUGAAUAAGCCACGGCUAACUACGUGCCAGCAGCCGCGGUAAUACGUAGGUGGCAAGCGUUGUCCGGAUUUAUUGGGUUUAAAGGGUGCGUAGGUGGCCCUGUAAGUCAGUGGUGAAAUAUCUCAGCUUAACUGAGAGGGUGCCAUUGAUACUGCAGGGCUUGAGUACAGAUGAGGUAGGCGGAAUUGACUGUGUAGCGGUGAAAUGCAUAGAUAUCGUCAAGAACACCGAUAGCGAAGGCAGCUUACCAAGCUGUAACUGACACUGAGGCACGAAAGUGUGGGGAUCAAACAGGAUUAGAUACCCCAGUAGUCCCUGAGCGGGCUGGCAAGGCGCAU